rnacentral:rRNA from 1 species
UACGUAGGGUGCAAGCGUUGUCCGGAAUUUAUUGGGCGUAAAGAGCUCGUAGGCGGUCUGUCGCGUCGGCUGUGAAAACCCGGGGCUCAACCCCGGGCCUGCAGUCGAUACGGGCAGACUAGAGUGCGGUAGGGGAGACUGGAAUUCCUGGUGUAGCGGUGAAAUGCGCAGAUAUCAGGAGGAACACCGGUGGCGAAGGCGGGUCUCUGGGCCGUAACUGACGCUGAGGAGCGAAAGCGUGGGGAGCGAACAGG